GGUAGCACAGAGAGCUUGCUCUCGGGUGACGAGCGGCGGACGGGUGAGUAAUGUCUGGGAAACUGCCUGAUGGAGGGGGAUAACUACUGGAAACGGUAGCUAAUACCGCAUAACGUCGCAGACCAAAGUGGGGGACCUUCGGGCCUCAUGCCAUCAGAUGUGCCCAGAUGGGAUUAGCUAGUAGGUGGGGUAAUGGCUCACCUAGGCGACGAUCCCUAGCUGGUCUGAGAGGAUGACCAGCCACACUGGAACUGAGACACGGUCCAGACUCCUACGGGAGGCAGCAGUGGGGAAUAUUGCACAAUGGGCGCAAGCCUGAUGCAGCCAUGCCGCGUGUAUGAAGAAGGCCUUCGGGUUGUAAAGUACUUUCAGCGAGGAGGAAGGCAUUAAGGUUAAUAACCUUGGUGAUUGACGUUACUCGCAGAAGAAGCACCGGCUAACUCCGUGCCAGCAGCCGCGGUAAUACGGAGGGUGCAAGCGUUAAUCGGAAUUACUGGGCGUAAAGCGCACGCAGGCGGUCUGUCAAGUCGGAUGUGAAAUCCCCGGGCUCAACCUGGGAACUGCAUUCGAAACUGGCAGGCUAGAGUCUUGUAGAGGGGGGUAGAAUUCCAGGUGUAGCGGUGAAAUGCGUAGAGAUCUGGAGGAAUACCGGUGGCGAAGGCGGCCCCCUGGACAAGACUGACGCUCAGGUGCGAAAGCGUGGGGAGCAAACAGGAUUAGAUACCCUGGUAGUCCACGCCGUAACGAUGUCGACUUGGAGGUUGUGCCCUUGAGGCGUGGCUUCCGGAGCUAACGCGUUAAGUCGACCGCCUGGGGAGUACGGGCCGCAAGGUUAAAACUCAAUGAAUUGACGGGGCCCGCACAAGCGGUGGAGCAUGUGGUUUAAUUCGAUGCAACGCGAGAACCUUACCUGCUCUUGACAUCCACAGAACUUAGCAGAGAUGCAUUCGGUGCCUUCGGGAACUGUGAGACAGGUGCUGCAUGGCUGUCGUCAGCUCGUG
rnacentral:rRNA from 1 species